rnacentral:rRNA from 1 species
UAAGCGACUAAGCGUACACGGUGGAUGCCCUGGCAGUCAGAGGCGAUGAAGGACGUGCUAAUCUGCGAUAAGCGUCGGUAAGGUGAUAUGAACCGUUAUAACCGGCGAUUUCCGAAUGGGGAAACCCAGUGUGUUUCGACACACUAUCAUUAACUGAAUCCAUAGGUUAAUGAGGCGAACCGGGGGAACUGAAACAUCUAAGUACCCCGAGGAAAAGAAAUCAACCGAGAUUCCCCCAGUAGCGGCGAGCGAACGGGGAGCAGCCCAGAGCCUGAAUCAGUGUGUGUGUUAGUGGAAGCGUCUGGAAAGGCGCGCGAUACAGGGUGACAGCCCCGUACACAAAAAUGCACAUGCUGUGAGCUCGAUGAGUAGGGCGGGACACGUGGUAUCCUGUCUGAAUAUGGGGGGACCAUCCUCCAAGGCUAAAUACUCCUGACUGACCGAUAGUGAACCAGUACCGUGAGGGAAAGGCGAAAAGAACCCCGGCGAGGGGAGUGAAAAAGAACCUGAAACCGUGUACGUACAAGCAGUGGGAGCACGCUUAGGCGUGUGACUGCGUACCUUUUGUAUAAUGGGUCAGCGACUUAUAUUCUGUAGCAAGGUUAACCGAAUAGGGGAGCCGAAGGGAAACCGAGUCUUAACUGGGCGUUAAGUUGCAGGGUAUAGACCCGAAACCCGGUGAUCUAGCCAUGGGCAGGUUGAAGGUUGGGUAACACUAACUGGAGGACCGAACCGACUAAUGUUGAAAAAUUAGCGGAUGACUUGUGGCUGGGGGUGAAAGGCCAAUCAAACCGGGAGAUAGCUGGUUCUCCCCGAAAGCUAUUUAGGUAGCGCCUCGUGAAUUCAUCUCCGGGGGUAGAGCACUGUUUCGGCAAGGGGGUCAUCCCGACUUACCAACCCGAUGCAAACUGCGAAUACCGGAGAAUGUUAUCACGGGAGACACACGGCGGGUGCUAACGUCCGUCGUGAAGAGGGAAACAACCCAGACCGCCAGCUAAGGUCCCAAAGUCAUGGUUAAGUGGGAAACGAUGUGGGAAGGCCCAGACAGCCAGGAUGUUGGCUUAGAAGCAGCCAUCAUUUAAAGAAAGCGUAAUAGCUCACUGGUCGAGUCGGCCUGCGCGGAAGAUGUAACGGGGCUAAACCAUGCACCGAAGCUGCGGCAGCGACACUAUGUGUUGUUGGGUAGGGGAGCGUUCUGUAAGCCUGUGAAGGUGUGCUGUGAGGCAUGCUGGAGGUAUCAGAAGUGCGAAUGCUGACAUAAGUAACGAUAAAGCGGGUGAAAAGCCCGCUCGCCGGAAGACCAAGGGUUCCUGUCCAACGUUAAUCGGGGCAGGGUGAGUCGACCCCUAAGGCGAGGCCGAAAGGCGUAGUCGAUGGGAAACAGGUUAAUAUUCCUGUACUUGGUGUUACUGCGAAGGGGGGACGGAGAAGGCUAUGUUGGCCGGGCGACGGUUGUCCCGGUUUAAGCGUGUAGGCUGGUUUUCCAGGCAAAUCCGGAAAAUCAAGGCUGAGGCGUGAUGACGAGGCACUACGGUGCUGAAGCAACAAAUGCCCUGCUUCCAGGAAAAGCCUCUAAGCAUCAGGUAACAUCAAAUCGUACCCCAAACCGACACAGGUGGUCAGGUAGAGAAUACCAAGGCGCUUGAGAGAACUCGGGUGAAGGAACUAGGCAAAAUGGUGCCGUAACUUCGGGAGAAGGCACGCUGAUAUGUAGGUGAAGCGACUUGCUCGUGGAGCUGAAAUCAGUCGAAGAUACCAGCUGGCUGCAACUGUUUAUUAAAAACACAGCACUGUGCAAACACGAAAGUGGACGUAUACGGUGUGACGCCUGCCCGGUGCCGGAAGGUUAAUUGAUGGGGUUAGCGCAAGCGAAGCUCUUGAUCGAAGCCCCGGUAAACGGCGGCCGUAACUAUAACGGUCCUAAGGUAGCGAAAUUCCUUGUCGGGUAAGUUCCGACCUGCACGAAUGGCGUAAUGAUGGCCAGGCUGUCUCCACCCGAGACUCAGUGAAAUUGAACUCGCUGUGAAGAUGCAGUGUACCCGCGGCAAGACGGAAAGACCCCGUGAACCUUUACUAUAGCUUGACACUGAACAUUGAGCCUUGAUGUGUAGGAUAGGUGGGAGGCUUAGAAGUGUGGACGCCAGUCUGCAUGGAGCCGACCUUGAAAUACCACCCUUUAAUGUUUGAUGUUCUAACGUUGACCCGUAAUCCGGGUUGCGGACAGUGUCUGGUGGGUAGUUUGACUGGGGCGGUCUCCUCCUAAAGAGUAACGGAGGAGCACGAAGGUUGGCUAAUCCUGGUCGGACAUCAGGAGGUUAGUGCAAUGGCAUAAGCCAGCUUGACUGCGAGCGUGACGGCGCGAGCAGGUGCGAAAGCAGGUCAUAGUGAUCCGGUGGUUCUGAAUGGAAGGGCCAUCGCUCAACGGAUAAAAGGUACUCCGGGGAUAACAGGCUGAUACUGCCCAAGAGUUCAUAUCGACGGCGGUGUUUGGCACCUCGAUGUCGGCUCAUCACAUCCUGGGGCUGAAGUAGGUCCCAAGGGUAUGGCUGUUCGCCAUUUAAAGUGGUACGCGAGCUGGGUUUAGAACGUCGUGAGACAGUUCGGUCCCUAUCUGCCGUGGGCGCUGGAGAACUGAGGGGGGCUGCUCCUAGUACGAGAGGACCGGAGUGGACGCAUCACUGGUGUUCGGGUUGUCAUGCCAAUGGCACUGCCCGGUAGCUAAAUGCGGAAGAGAUAAGUGCUGAAAGCAUCUAAGCACGAAACUUGCCCCGAGAUGAGUUCUCCCUGACCCUUUAAGGGUCCUGAAGGAACGUUGAAGACGACGACGUUGAUAGGCCGGGUGUGUAAGCGCAGCGAUGCGUUGAGCUAACCGGUACUAAUGAACCGUGAGGCUUAACCU